rnacentral:tRNA from 1 species
GGGAAUGUGGCUUAGUGGUAGAGUGCUUGCCUAGCAUGCAUGAAGUCCUGGGUUCGAUUCCUUAGUACCA